CGGUGUGGACUCCACUGCCCCUCCUCCUGCCCACCGAGCCCCGCCUGCCUGGGCCUUGGUGCCUCUGUCGCUGCUCCGGGUCCCCCUGCUGGGGCCCCUCCGCCGCUGGGCUGAGGCUGGAGCCGCUGCCUCCCGCCAGAGGGAGGAGGUCAUAAAUAACCCUGGGGCUGCGGAGCAGACGGUGACCCCAGACGUCCUGGGGGAGUGUGGGGGCGCCAGGGGCCGCUGCCCCAGCCCGCACGCCGCCUCCUCCAUCCGGGAGUGCCUGCCCAGGCUCCCCAGCAUUUCUGUUAGAUUGCCUCUCAUCCAUCCCCUCAUCAAUCAGUCAACCAUUGAUUGAGCCCAGAUGUGGUACAGCCCCAGCCAGAGAGGACCCAGAGGUGGGGUGGGGAGGAGAGAGAUGGGGAAGCCGAGUCCAGGGCCACAGGUGCAGCCAGGAGGUGCAGGUGAGCAGCGCUCAGGCCAGCCCGUCAGCCUCAGUCCUGAGUUUACUUCUGGUGAUGGAGGGAGAUACGCAGAAAAGAUCCUGCAUCCCGCAGGUGUGGCACAGCUGACCUCGGGCCAAGGAUGCACAGCUGUGUGUCUGCCUGGCCUCCAGCAAGGGCACGCGUGCUCAGAAGCACAGGUGUGCCCACACCCUGCAUGCCUGUGUGUGGCGCAGCAGCUCCAGACUCACGCGCACGACACACGCGGCACAGACAGACCCUCCCAUGGCCACAGGGACAAUGGUGCAGACAGGAUGUGCACUGCCCUCCAAGGCCGGUGCGCAACACAGACCCAGGGCCUGCGGGCACCUGCACCGCACAGACCCAGGCACACAUGAUCCCCAGCCAAGGCGGCCUGCCCAGUGCCAGGGCUCAGUCCUGGUGCUGUUGGACGGAAAGGCUAACCCAGGAGGUCAGGGGUUGUGGUAAAUCAGCUGCGCUCCCUCAGAUGCUCCUGCAGAAGCAGCCAGGACCUCAGGAACGCACCUGCUCCUGGUCAGACAGGAGGAGCUGCUGCGCUGGAACCUGCCCGCGCCUUUGGGUGCCGUGAGCUGGCUGCGCGCCACGUCGUUUUGAGGACAUAAGAAGGUGUUUCCAAGUCCAGUCUGUCCACCGACCUGUCCAGUCUGUCCACCGACCUGAACCUUUACCACUGAAAGAACAAAGGGGUGGGACCCGAGGGACCCUUCCCUGCCCUCCCAUGGUGUGUGGUCAGGGAUACUCCUGCAAACACACACAGGUGGGCUCUGACUGCCAGAUCGCAGGGGUGGUGCCGUGGUCCUCACCUGCCAUGUCACCAGAGUGCUGACACACACACCGGAGACAGUGCUAGGCCCAGCACAUCCCAGCCAAUUCCUCUAUAAAUGAUGCAGAAGCCCCAGCACCUUGAGGCUAGGCAAAGGGAAGCAAUAGAAUUCUCCAGAGCCUCAAGGAAGCGGGACGGUCUGUCCCAGUGAAUGCACUCGGCCAAUUCUUCCCUGUCCUCCCCCUGCCAAUGCUGCCGGCCUGCAGCCUGGACCUGGCCUGGGUUGUGGAGGGGAUCAGAGGAUGCAGCGGCCGCCUGCUGGGUGCACGUGGGCCUAGGUGGUCCUCAGCCCUCAGCCCUUAUGGCAGGAGCCCCCGAAGCACUGCUGUGGCACCCUCUCUGACAUUGGGCCAGGGAGACACUGGGAGCCGGGUGCAGAGCCAGGGCCCAGCACGCAGGCCUUGGGCUCCAGCCCGUCCCCCACAUCUGGAAUGUGCCAGCAGGGCCCAGUGUGAGAGAAGAGCGGAUCCCUACGUGAGUAAGGGUGGAGGGAUGGUGCCUCUGCCGUGGCCGUGGUGCCGCCGUCCACAUCAGCUUUCUCUCAGCACAGAUCCUGUGUGAAGGCCUCAGGGGCCACGAUCCUCGUUCUGAGGGCCCUAGCAGGUCGGGCUCCUGCUGUGCUGGCUCCACAUUGACUAGCUGGUGGGCUUGGCGGGUCUGUGGUCACAGAGAGACCAGAACCCGCAUAACAGGCCCCAUGAGGAUGCCAGGCUGCACUGACCCCUGAGCUUCAGGGGAGAGGGGCACCAGCUGGGAGCCCUGCACAGACAGCCUCAGGUGCAAGAAGCCGGAGCCCAGGGCAGCUGGGGAGGGGUGGGGUGUGGUGGCUGGAAGUUGCUGUUCUCAGACCCAGCUCUGAGACCCUCUCCAACUGCAUGGGGGGUCCAGGCUGGACCCCAGAUGUGACUGUGUAUGUGCUGGGAUGGGAGCCCCCUGAGAGCAGGGCUUUUGUUAAUUCACCAACAAUCUCACACGCCUGGCAUGAGACAGGUGCUCAGGCUGUGAAGACCACAUACACGGGGUCCUCCACUGUGUCCGGGGGAGGGUGGGUCCUGCUCGCAGCCAGACUGGGUAUAGCCCUGGGUGGGCUCUGGGGCUCGCCCAGGGCAGCUCAGCCUCCUAGCCCUGGGCAGCCCUGCUGCCUGCCUGCUCCCUCCACUCCUACCACCUGCCCAGGUGGGACUCUGCCUGCCUUCUUGUCCCCGGUGCUUUGUAGGAGUUGGACCACAGGUAUCCUCUUCAUCAGAGGGAGAAGAGCUCACGACCUGGGAGAACUCCAGGCCUGGCCCAGUGAAGAACGUCCUUAUCUUCAGCAGACGUUGCCCAGUGCAAAGGGAGGCCAGCCUCAGAGGCACGGACGGUGGCGUAGCAUCCGUCCGAAGGCCCUGCCUGCAGCACGGGAUGCCACAGAGGUCCCCUGGGACAGAGCCUCAUGGGGCAGGCAGGGGUGGCAGCUGCUCCUGCGUGAAGAGGCAGAUGCAAACCCACGGUGUGGCCUCUGGGGUCCCACAUCCCAGGUAGAGAGUGACCCAGGUCGCUGGCAUCUGUGCCAUCUCUGCUCCACUGACCACUCAUGGGGGUCCUGGAGAUCCUGACACCAAUGGCUGGGGAGCAGCAGCCCAGGCACAGGCCCCAGUGCACACUCAGAUCCCACGGUGUGUGCACACGGCCUUGCCCCGAGGCCUGGGUGCUGUAUGAGGGCCAGGACGCUAACAGAGCGGAGGAUACCCACACGUGAGCUGCGCUGGGUUUCCUUGUACCCAAAUGGGAUAUGCAGGGUUCCACUGUGCAGUUGCUGUGUAUUUUAGGAUCUCAUCCCCAUGUGCCCCAGCAGGACCACAGCUGUGACCGGCUGCUGCAGAAGGGCUGGGUGGGUUGAGAGCCCACUGGCAGGGUCACUGGGGGCGGCAGGCGCUCUGUCCACACUGAUUUCUGUGUCACAUCAGGGAUUUUCAGGGCGGCAAGCUCAGGUGUUUUACUGUUUCCCAUGUCAAGUCCAGCUCCAGACUGACUUUCUGAGGUCACAGAUGGAGCCUCACCCCAUCCAAGGUGAUGUCCUGGACUCCCAGUGUGUUCCCCAGAGGGCAGGGUACCUGGGGCCCAGCCUGGGCGGCAGGAGGGACUCAGCCCCUCGCCCAGGCAGGAAGGCUCCCCAGCAGAGGCCCCUCCCUCGUGCACUCCCCAGCCCCCACCUGCGGCACUGGGACUGGGACUAAUAAAACACCCACCUCGCAGAAGACAGCUUUAUCUUGUUGAUUGGAAGUCUGCCAGCCCAAUUUAUGAUGGAACAUAAGAUCUCCAAAUCUGAAUUUAUGCGCUGUAGCGUAACGAGAGGUCAAUGAGAUUAAACGGGGGCUCAGGAGAGGACCAGCGCCAGGCUCACUUGAGGCGCUGCACAGAAAACCCACAGCCAGAGCCCCUGGGCCCGGCCCAGGCAAGACCAGAAAAGGAGGGGGCAGGUGGGAGACCAGCCUGGGGCUCCAGGGAAGGCCACGGGAUGGAGGCAGGAGAGCCAGCUGGCCUGGGGCAACCCUGGGAUGGCUCCUGGAUGGAGGAGAGCAGAGGGGUGAUGAGGGUUCCCUCAGGGCUGGGGAGCCUUCUCCUGGUCUCAGACCCACCUCCCUUCAGCUGCCAAACCCUGGGCGCCCCUGAUUCUGAGGACAGUUGGGAGCCUGCCCUGAGGCAGGUUCAAGGACAGAGCUCUGACCCUGGCCCAGGGCUGCUUUGGUGCCCAUGAACUCGGCUUCCGGCUCAGAGCAGUUCACUGCACCCCUUCCUGAGCCCUCUGUCCUCUGGAACCCGUGGGCAGGGCGAGGGACCAGUGCUCUGUCUGGGUGGGGGCCUGGGCGCCCAGCCAGCACGAGGCUGAGCUUAGGGCAGACCCUGACUUCAGAAUUUAUACAAAUAAACGCAAUGAAAAGUGCUGGCAGCCUGA